GAUGAACGCUAGCGGCAGGCCUAACACAUGCAAGUCGAGGGGGAAGUUACUUUCGGGUAACUGAGACCGGCGUACGGGUGCGUAACGCGUAUACAAUCUGCCUUUCACUGGGGGAUAGCCCGAAGAAAUUUGGAUUAAUACCCCAUAGUAUAGUAGUGUGGCAUCACACAACUAUUAAAGCUUAGGUGGUGAAAGAUGAGUAUGCGUUCUAUUAGCUAGUUGGAGAGGUAACGGCUCCCCAAGGCUAUGAUAGAUAGGGGUUCUGAGAGGGAUGUCCCCCACACUGGUACUGAGAUACGGACCAGACUCCUACGGGAGGCAGCAGUGAGGAAUAUUGGACAAUGGUCGGAAGACUGAUCCAGCCAUACCGCGUGCAGGAUGAAGGUCUUAUGGAUUGUAAACUGCUUUUGUAAGGGAAGAAUAAGGACUACGUGUAGUUUGAUGACGGUACCUUAUGAAUAAGCAUCGGCUAACUCCGU
rnacentral:rRNA from 1 species